rnacentral:rRNA from 1 species
UACGAGGGGUGCAAGCGUUGCUCGGAAUUAUUGGGCGUAAAGGGCAAGUAGGUGGUCUCAUUUGUCUGGGGUGAAAGCCUUGAGCUUAACUCAAGAAGUGCCCCGGAAACGGUGAGACUCGAGUACUGGAGAGGGUCGUGGAAUUCCCGGUGUAGCGGUGAAAUGCGUAGAGAUCGGGAGGAACACCAGGAGGCGAAGGCGGCGACCUGGACAGUUACUGACACUCAACUGCGAAAGCGUGGGGAGCAAACAGG